ACAUGGUACAGAAGUUCAAAUUUUAACAAUAGGUAUGCAGAGAGGAGUCUCCCUUCCCAUCUCCCACCCGGAAGCAACUGCUGUCACCUGAUUAUCCAUCCAGAGAAGUUCUGUCCAGCAGUUUCCCAGCUGUGUUCUACCUGAGCCCCAGGCUUCCCACAAGUGCAUCAGAAGCCAACAUAGAGGAGAAGAAUGAAGGAGAAAACCCAUGAGGGCAUCAAUCCAUCCAUCAGCAAACACCCAAGCCAAGGUCCUUUAGGAACAAAGAACUCCUCCAGACCCGAGCUGAGCCCAUCGGGAGAACGUCCACUGAACCAGACCAGCAACACGGGCAGUCAGGCCUCACAGCCACCUUUCCUGAGCCUGAGCCACCAUCCACCAGGUGCUGCAGUGAGUGAUGG